rnacentral:rRNA from 1 species
AUGACCGGUGACCUGAGGUUAAUGAUGAAGGCAGAGGUUGUGGUAAGAAGCGAGCAUCUGCGCACAGUGGCCGUGGUUGUCCCGCGGUCAAAAGAGGAAAUUUUCACUGAAACCUAUCAGUCUUUUCACACCAAUGUGUUGAAACACUCCGAUUACCUGCUACGCGAAGAUAUGCAUCACACACUGCACAGAAUUGUGCUUCUCACUGCUGACGCUGUCCCCGCCUUCACCGCCAAGGCCAGUGAGCUAGGAUGCAUGGUGCGUCCGUUUGAUGCCACUGAAGAAGAGCACAAAACCAAGCGUAACGAGCUCAAGGCCCUCGUGGAGAAGAAGGACACGUUAGAAGAGGACUUGCAUGAGUGGUGUCAGAAAAGGGAGCAUGAAGUUCAGACGCAGAGAUACCAUCUUCUCAUGCUCAGACAGGCUGCAGAAAGCGCGAUGUCCUAUGGUACUCGCAAGAAGUUCAUGUCCAUUGUUGUCUGUGUUCCGCCGGGGCAUGAGGAACAGACGAGAACAAUCCUUGAGCAAGUUCCGGACACGUCAGGAGGUCUGGUGCUGAAUCCUGAUGAAGAGGCACUCUACUCUUCACUUUUCCCUUCUGAUGAACGGGAUAAUGUUCCUUAUGUGUCCUUUCAGUUCCAGCGCUAG